GCACGGUAAACGAUGGAUGCCCGCUGUUCCGGCAUUAGCUGGAGUGGCCAAGCGAAAGCGUUAAGCAUCCCACCUGGGGAGUACGCCGGCAACGGUGAAACUCAAAGGAAUUGACGGGGGCCCGCACAAGCGGAGGAACAUGUGGUUUAAUUCGAUGAUACGCGAGGAACCUUACCCGGGCUUGAACUGCAGGAGAACGAUUCAGAGAUGAUGAGGCCCUUCGGGGCUCCUGUGGAGGUGCUGCAUGGUUGUCGUCAGCUCGUGCCGUGAGGUGUCGGCUUAAGUGCCAUAACGAGCGCAACCCCUCUCUUCAGUUGCCAGCGGUCCGGCCGGGAACUCAAAGGAGACUGCCAGUGAUAAACUGGAGGAAGGUGGGGAUGACGUCAAGUCAUCAUGGCCCUUACGACCAGGGCUACACACGUGCUACAAUGGCGCAUACAAAGAGAAGCGACCUCGCGAGAGCAAGCGGACCUCAUAAAGUGCGUCGUAGUCCGGAUUGGAGUCUGCAACUCGACUCCAUGAAGUCGGAAUCGCUAGUAAUCGUGGAUCAGAAUGCCACGGUGAAUACGUUCCCGGGCCUUGUACACACCGCCCGUCACACCAU
rnacentral:rRNA from 1 species